rnacentral:tRNA from 1 species
GGGAGAGAAGUUAUUAAAAUGAUGCACUGUAAAUGCAUAGAAGGAUUUAUUCCCUCUUCCA